rnacentral:rRNA from 1 species
AGUCCUCCUAUUUUCAGUUGGUUUUGGCAGCGCGAGGACUAGGGUAAUGAUUAAUAGGGAUAGUUGGGGGCAUUAAUAUUUAAUUGUCAGAUGAAAUUCUUGGAUUUAGAAAGAUUAACUUCUAAAGCAUCUGCCAAGCAUUAAUCAGAACGAAAGUUAGGGGAUCGAAGACGAUCAGAUACCGUCGUAGUCUUAACCAUAAACGAUGCCGCGAUUAGGAGACGUUGAAUACAAAACACCACCAUCGGUUGCGGUCGUCCUUGGCGUCGGAUUCGGCCGGGGGCGGGGAUGGCUUAGCCCGGUGGACCCGUGAAUGACUCCCCAAGCAGCUUGUGAGAAGUGAGCCAACCCGCACUAGGCCCCGUACC